rnacentral:piRNA from 1 species
UAGACUUAAAGUUGGCAAGUUUAG